AUACGGAGGAUCCGAGCGUUAUCCGGAUUUAUUGGGUUUAAAGGGAGCGUAGGCGGACGCUUAAGUCAGCUGUGAAAGUUUGGGGCUCAACCUUAAAAUUGCAGUUGAUACUGGUUUCCUUGAGUACGGUACAGGUAGGCGGAAUUCGUGGUGUAGCGGUGAAAUGCUUAGAUAUGACGAAGAACACCGAUUGCGUAGGCAGCUGACCAGACCGCAAAUGACGCUCAUGCACGAAAGUGCGGGGAUCGAACAGGAUUAGAUACCCUGGUAGUCCGCACAGUAAACGAUGAAUACUUGUUUUCGGCGAUAUAAUGUCGGAGGCAAAGCGAAAGCGAUAAGUAUUCCACCUGGGGAGUACGCCGGCAACGGUGAAACUCAAAUGAAUUGGCGGGG
rnacentral:rRNA from 1 species